CUUUCUCCCGUGCUGGAUGCUUCCUGCCCUCAAACAUCGGACUCCAAGUUCUUCAGUUUUGAGACUCGGACUGGGUCUCCUUGCUCCUCAAGCUUGCAGACAGACUAUUGUGGGAGCUUGUGAUUAUAUGAGUGAGCCUAGAAUCAAUGAGUACAUCUACUGCCCAGAUCUUGAUUUCUAAUGCCAUUCUCCAAUAAAAAGAACCAGUAUUUCUUGGAUAAAUGGCUGAUGCUAGGACUGAGGCAGAAAAUAUGCAAGUUGAGCCUGGACCAUCUUACAGUGCCAGAAAGUACAGAUAUGCCUUUCCUCCCCACACAAAUAGCACUCACACAACGAUGGAGAUAUGUCAAGGGGGUACAGGAACUAAGUGAAAGAUCUAUAAUACCCGAAGCUGGAACAAUCCAAGCAAUGAAAUAAAUCAAGAAGAGACGGAUUACAGCCCUAGUAUGGAAUAAAUAUCUGUGUCCUUCCUGAUAUAAAUAAAUGAUUGCAUUACUAAAUAAAUGGAGGAGAACAGAAAAAAUUCACAUGCAGACCUCUAAAUAAUAUAUAUCAAUAGUCUGCCCUGAAGGAGGUAGAAGGCCACACCCCACUCAUUAUGGGUAGGCUAUGCAUAUGACUCCUGUCCAAAGAGUACAGUAUGAAAAAGUGAGGAGGGAAGUAACUUUACAAUGAAGAAAACUGACAAAAACUACCUUAACCUCAAGAUCAACAUCGACAAUGAAAAGCCAGGUUGAUAGUAUGUAUCCUUCAUAUAAUGGAAUGAGAAUAGCUCUUUUCCUCUCUGGUCGUUCUUCGCAAAAGGCAUAACCUCCAUCUUCUCAUAUGAAAAGUAUCAGAGAAAUCCAACUCAAGGGACAUUCUACAAAAUACCUGACCAGUGCUCCUCCAAAUGUAAAAGUCAUCAAAAAACAAGGAAAACCUGAUGAACUGUUCA
rnacentral:lncRNA from 1 species